GACGAACGCUGGCGGCGUGCUUAACACAUGCAAGUCGAACGGAAAGACGCUGCUUUUGCGGGGUGCUCGAGAGGCGAACGGGGGAGUAACACGUGUGUAACCUGCCCUUGACUGUGUGAUAACUUCAGGAAACUGCGGCUAAUACCGGAUAGGAUCUCCUGCUGCAUGGGGGGGAUUGGAAAGUUGCGGCUGUUGGGGAUGGACUCGCGGCUUAUGAGCUGGUUGGGGGGGUAGUGGCUUACCAGGUCUUUGACGGGUAGCCCGCCUGGGAGCGUGGCCGGGGACCAUGCGCCUGCGGUAGGCAGCAGUCGGGUAUGGGCCGCAGUAGUGGGAAACCUUGCGCAGUGGGCCGGAGCCUGAUGUGGAGGCGUUCGGUGCGUAAUGCCGGCUUUCGGGUUGUAAACAGAUGUCUACGUUGACGAAGCGGUCGUGACGGUACUGGGUCAAGAAGCCCCGGCUAACUACGUG
rnacentral:rRNA from 1 species